rnacentral:rRNA from 1 species
CCUACGGGAGGCAGCAGUGGGGAAUCUUGCGCAAUGGGCGAAAGCCUGACGUAGCAACGCCGCGUGAGGGACGAAGGUUUUCUGAAUUGUAAACCUCUUUCAGCAGGGAAGAUAAUGACGGUACCUGCAGAAGAAGCACCGGCUAACUACGUGCCAGCAGCCGCGGUGAUACGUAGGGUGCAAGCGUUGUCCGGAUUUAUUGGGCGUAAAGAGCUCGUAGGCGGUUUGGUAAGUCGGUUGUGAAAUCCCCAGGCUCAACCUGGGGCCUGCAUUCGAUACUGCCAUGACUAGAGUUUGGUAGGGGACCACGGAAUUCCUGGUGUAGCGGUGGAAUGCGCAGAUAUCAGGAGGAACACCAGUAGCGAAGGCGGUGGUCUGGGCCAAUACUGACGCUGAGGAGCGAAAGCGUGGGGAGCAAACAGGAUUAGAUACCCUGGUAGUCCACGCCGUAAACGGUGGGCACUAGGUGUGGGGACUAGUUCAACGGUUUCCGCGCCGACGCUAACGCAUUAAGUGCCCGCCUGGGGAGGUACGGCGCGAGACGAAACUACGAAGAAGUAGACGGCGUGAGACGNGACCGACGACGACGACGAGGGAGUAGG